AUUGGAGAGUUUGAUCCUGGCUCAGGACGAACGCUGGCGGCAUGCCUAAUACAUGCAAGUCGAGCGGACUUGAAGAGAAGCUUGCUUCUCUGAUGGUUAGCGGCGGACGGGUGAGUAACACGUAGGCAACCUGCCCUCAAGCUUGGGACAACUACCGGAAACGGUAGCUAAUACCGAAUAGUUGUUUUCUUCUCCUGAAGAGAACUGGAAAGACG
rnacentral:rRNA from 1 species